rnacentral:tRNA from 1 species
UCUUCCUUGGUCUAGUGGUCAGGAUACCUGCUUGUCAAAGAGCAAUUCGCAGGUGGCCGGGGUUCGAUUCCCCGAGGGAGAG